AGCAGUGGGAGCCCCACCACCAAAGCAUUCUCUGGUGUUGAAGGCCCUGCAAAGCAGCAUCGCGGUGGCGGAGCGUCGUUUGCGACGCCCAACACACAAAACAAGCGGUGAGUGCUUUGGGGUGGGGUGACUGCGUACCUUUUGUAUAAUGGGUCAGCGACUUAUAUUCUGUAGCAAGGUUAACCGAAUAGGGGAGCCGUAGGGAAACCGAGUCUUAACCGGGCGUUAAGUUGCAGGGUAUAGACCCGAAACCCGGUGAUCUAGCCAUGGGCAGGUUGAAGGUUGGGUAACACUAACUGGAGGACCGAACCGACUAAUGUUGAAAAAUUAGCGGAUGACUUGUGGCUGGGGGUGAAAGGCCAAUCAAACCGGGAGAUAGCUGGUUCUCCCCGAAAGCUAUUUAGGUAGCGCCUCGUGAAUUCAUCUUCGGGGGUAGAGCACUGUUUCGGCUAGGGGGUCAUCCCGACUUACCAACCCGAUGCAAAC
rnacentral:rRNA from 1 species